AUGAGUCGUCAUAAUGGCAUCAACAUCCCCGAUGGCAAGUUCUAAUUAGGAGAUGCUAGCUAUGCAUGCCGGCCAAGUGUUCUUCCAUCCUUCAGGAAAACCAGGUAUCAUCUGAACGAGUUCUCUGGUAGGAACUAUCUUAGGACUCCUCGGGAACUAUUCAAUCUCAGACACUCCAUCCUUAGAGUAACGGUUGAGUGGGCAUUUGAAGCUCUGAAGAAUAUGUUUGAGAUCCUGGAUCAAAAGCCAUUCCACCCUUACCCUACUCAGGUCAAGCUUGUUCUUGCAUGUUGCAUCAUUCACAACCGGAUCCUGCAAUGGGGAACUGAUAAACUUUUGUCGGAGGAGGAAGAUGUGACUCCUGAUGAGGUGAUCAGCUCUGUCCAUGGCGUGGAGGCUUUUGAGAACAAAGAAUGGAAGAACAAAAGGUUGAAUUGGGCUCAGACAAUGUGGGAUAACAGAGGUUAG
rnacentral:rRNA from 1 species